CAGCAGCCACGGUAAUACGGAGGGUGCAAGCGUUAAUCGGAAUUACUGGGCGUAAAGCGCACGCAGGCGGUCUGACAAGUCAGAUGUGAAAUCCCCGGGCUUAACCUGGGAACUGCAUUUGAAACUGUCAGGCUGGAGUCUUGUAGAGGGGGGUGGAAUUCCAGGUGUAGCGGUGAAAUGCGUAGAGAUCUGGAGGAAUACCGGUGGCGAAGGCGGCCCCCUGGACAAAGACUGACGCUCAGGUGCGAAAGCGUGGGGAGCAAACAGGAUUAGAGACCCCAGUAGUCCCUGUCUCUUAUAC
rnacentral:rRNA from 1 species